rnacentral:rRNA from 1 species
ACCCGCUGAACUUAAGCAUAUCAAUAAGCGGAGGAAAAGAAACCAACAGGGAUUGCCCUAGUAACGGCGAGUGAAGCGGCAACAGCUCAAAUUUGAAAUCUGGCCCUAGUGGUCCGAAUUGUAAUUUGUAGAGGAUGCUUUGGGCGCGGUGCCUUCCGAGUUCCUUGGAACAGGACGCCUUAGAGGGUGAGAGCCCCGUACGGUUGGACACCAAGCCUAUGUAAAGCUCCUUCGACGAGUCGAGUAGUUUGGGAAUGCUGCUCUAAAUGGGAGGUAAAUUUCUUCUAAAGCUAAAUACCGGCCAGAGACCGAUAGCGCACAAGUAGAGUGAUCGAAAGAUGAAAAGUACUUUGAAAAGAGGGUUAAAUAGCACGUGAAAUUGUUGAAAGGGAAGCAUUUAUGACCAGACCUUUGCUAGGUGGAUCAUCCGGUGUUCUUCACCGGUGCACUUCGCCUAGCUUAGGCCAGCAUCGAUUUCUGUAGGGGGAUAAAGGUCUAGGGAACGUAGCUCUCUUCGAAGGGUGUUAUAGGCCCUGGGCGUAAUACCCUUACGGGGAUUCGAGGUUCGCGCUUCGGCAAGGAUGCGGGCAUAAUGGUCAUCAAUGACCCGUCUUGAAACACGGACC